GCGCCCGUAGCUCAGUUGGUUAGAGCAGCCCGCUCAUAUCGGGUUGGUCGCAGGUUCAAGUCCUGCCGGGCGCA
rnacentral:tRNA from 1 species